CGCCUUAUACUCCUACGGGAGGCAGCAGUGGGGAAUUUUGGACAAUGGGGGCAACCCUGAUCCAGCCAUGCCGCGUGAGUGAUGAAGGCCCUAGGGUUGUAAAGCUCUUUUACCUGGGAAGAUAAUGACGGUACCAGGAGAAUAAGCCCCGGCUAACUUCGUGCCAGCAGCCGCGGUAAUACGAAGGGGGCUAGCGUUGUUCGGAAUCACUGGGCGUAAAGAGCACGUAGGCGGAUCUUUAAGUCAGGGGUGAAAUCCCGAGGCUCAACCUCGGAACUGCCUUUGAUACUGGGGAUCUCGAGUCCGGGAGAGGUGAGUGGAACUGCGAGUGUAGAGGUGAAAUUCGUAGAUAUUCGCAAGAACACCAGUGGCGAAGGCGGCUCACUGGCCCGGAACUGACGCUGAGGUGCGAAAGCGUGGGGAGCAAACAGGAUUAGAUACCCGAGUAGUCCACGUACCA
rnacentral:rRNA from 1 species